rnacentral:rRNA from 1 species
AUUGAACGCUGGCGGCAGGCCUAACACAUGCAAGUCGAACGAGACGCGGACGGGUGAGUAAUGUCUUGGAAACUGCCUGAUGGAGGGGGAUCACUACUGGAAACUGUAGCUAAUACCGCAUACCAUCAGAUGUGCCCAGCGUGGUGUAGCUAGUUGGUGGGGUAACGGCUAACCAAGGAGACGAUCCCUAGCGGGUCUGAGAGGAUGACCAGCCACACUGGAACUGAGACACGGUCCAGACUCCUACGGGAGGCAGCAGUGGGGAAUAUUGCACAAUGGGCGAAAGCCUGAUCCAGCCAUGCCGCGUGUAUGAAGAAGGCCUUCGGGUUGUAAAGUACUUGCAGCGGGGAGGCGUUACCCGCAGAAGAAGCACCGGCUAACUCCGUGCCAGCAGCCGCGGUAAUUC